CCUUCCCUGAAGGUUUUACUGGGCUGUUGGGACAGACCUUCAGUACGGACACGAAGGCCUCGUUCCCGACGCGGUUCUGUCCUCCGCGGUUUCAGCAACACGGAGGAGGACAGCGUCAACUCCGACACACAUCCUUUUUGGCCUCAAGGACCUCGCCUGGGCGGGCUCUUAGAUUCGAGGAUUCAGCACCAUGGACAGACCUUCCGCUUUCCUCUCGCGCCCCGCGGAAUGGGAGUGAGCACUGCAGACAGCCCACUCCCCUCUUCACAGACUACAGGUGGAUCCAGCAUUGUGCACAGAGCCCCAAGUUUGAGAAUGAGAUAAGGAAACAGAAGCUCAGAGAGAUGAA